UACGAAGGGGGGCUAGCGUUGUUCGGAUUUACUGGGCGUAAAGGAUGCGUAGGCGGACAUUUAAGUCAGAUGUGAAAUACCCGAGCUUAACUUGGGUGCUGCAUUUGAAACUGGGUGUCUAGAGUGCAGGAGAGGUAAGUGGAAUUCCUAGUGUAGCGGUGAAAUGCGUAGAGAUUAGGAAGAACACCAGUGGCGAAGGCGACUUACUGGACUGUAACUGACGCUGAGGCAUGAAAGCGUGGGGAGCAAACAGG
rnacentral:rRNA from 1 species